rnacentral:rRNA from 1 species
GACGAAGGUGGCGAGCGUUGUUCGGAAUCACUGGGCAUAAAGCGCACGUAGGCGGCGCGUAAGUUGGGUGUGGAAUCCCUCGGCCCAACCGAGGAACUGCGCCCAGUACUGCGUUGCUUGAGGAUCCAAGGGGUGCAUGGAAUUCCCGGUGGAGCGGUGAAAUGCGUUGAUAUCGGGAGGAACUCCGGCGGCGAAAGCGGUGCACUGGUGGAUUACUGACGCUGAGGUGCGAAAGCCAGGGGAGCAAACGGG